rnacentral:lncRNA from 1 species
CUUCGAAUCAGAAGGACUCGUUACCUGCUGACUCGGAGCGGUGGACUGACUGAAUGCGGUAUCUGCGCUAUAAUUUGUACCUACAUUAUAAGACACUAUAGCACAUAGAAAUAUAUGGGGGUCAACACUUUAAGUAAUGUACAGAGUAUGUGGGGGUGCAACGCAACAUUAUAAAUAAUAUCAAAGAUGAUUAUGAAAAUCAUGCAUGCUGACGAUAACGACUUUCUUUGCUUGAAUUUCUUGAAACAUAAUUUCCAUAAAUCAUCAAUAAUAACACAUGCUUCAUAAAUCUCAUAAAUCAUUGGACUCAACUCAAACUCUUUAAAUCAUGACUUAGAGUGACUCGGUAACUCAUGAAACUUGAACUCUUAUAAACUUGGGAGGUUCUUAUAACCGAUAUUAACCAUGUGAGCUACAUGGAGUCCAAUGUUUUGCCCUCCUAAGGAGAGAACCCCACAUUGGCAGAAGUUUCGUACUCUUGCCAAAGAGUACAACCUAAAUUUAGUGAUCAUAAUCUCAUACUCAGCCUCCAUCCUACAAUUAUGAAUAUCAAUCCUAUGGUGGCACAUAGUUUUGGGAGAAAUACCAUAUUUCCCGCUUGGUGCAAAAUACUACUCCCAGACACAAGCUCAGAAUGCGUUAGGAAAUCCACCUCAAAGAUCACAAGGUUCUAUCAUAAAGACCAAAUCAAAUCUCUUUCUCAUUUAUCAAAUCAUAAUCAAUUUGUGGAUUCCAAACUUGACUCAAAUCAAAUCAAUCUUUCUCAAUAUCAAAAUGUAUCAAAAACUUCAAGAAAAUAUCAUAGAACUCAUUCUUGACUUUCAAGCUCAAAUAUCAAUAUAUAUAUUCAAUAAUCAAACUUUUCAUAGAAAAGCUUAAAUCAUGACUCUUAUCUCAAAUCAUUCGGAAAUCAUCAACUCAUAGUAACAAUAUUCAACUCAUGGCAUAAGUUCUCAAUUUAAGAAAUAAAAUAGUUAUGUGUAUCAAUUUUGAAUAGCUCAAAUAUCAUAAAUCAUUAAUAAAGUAAUUUGGGUGUAAACCCACUUUGCAAAAUAAUAAAUUUCAAUAGUAGAAAUUAAAUCUUUGGGCACAAGAAUGAAAGAAGUGUUCUUGUUCAAAUCCCACAUGCCUUAGAUUAUGAUUUUAAGAUGAGCAAGCUUGAUUGGAAAAUCUUUUUCACACUUUUGAGCUACGUUCUUGAUGCCUUUGACUUGGAGAACUUAAUUCUUGAACAACUUGGUGAAAUCUUUGGAAAAUUCUUGAAUUUCUUGGAGAUAAUUUGAUUUGGAUUUGGAAGAGAGAAACCCUAGUUUCUAGAGAGUUAUGGAAGAGAAAGGAGAAAAAUAAACUUCUCUUCUCUACUUGGAUAUAUAUAUAUACAAGACCAAAAUGGGCGGAAAUGAUCAAAAUGCCCCUAAAAAAUUGAGAUAAAAAAUUAUCGAUCGGGUUUGUGACGGUUGAACUAACAGUCCUCAGAGGAACAGACGGUCCACUAUAUCGUCCAUCACUCGAGUGUCAAAACUAGGACAUUCUGCCUAGACAUGACGGUCCCCUUGACGGUCUGUCAAAUUUUUGGUGGCCUACUAUUUUGGCCAUCGCACGAUGGCCAGAAAAAGGGGUUACUUCCUUGGCUUGAUGGGACAAUUGAUGGUCCACCAAGGACUUGGCGGUCCUUCAAGGCUACCGUCAGGCCUGAGCAAUUCUGACAUCGCUUAGUAAAACGGCCAUAACUUCCUCGUCCGAUGUCAGAUUUCGAUGAAAUUGGUAUCGAUGGAAAGCUUAUUCAAUGCUCUAUAUAACAGAAAUAAUAAAUUAGAGAAAUAAAAAACAAUAUAAAUAUCAAUCACUUUGGAAGUCACCCCUAUUCACUUAAAAGACAAAUUUAGGCUUUAAAAAUGAUUGGGGUAUUAUAGUUAUCAAUUCCGUAAACCCAUUCAGUUUUAUGCAUAGAUUCCUAUUACUAGUUAACAUCAGUUAACAUUGCACAGUCUGUCAUGCUUUCAAGAGUAAGUUCAGUCAGACCUCCAUGCAUUAGAUAUGCAUAUUUAGUAGAGAAAUUUCAGCUUAUCAGUAUAUUCAGUCUUACGUUCAUGAGAACAACUUAAUCAAGUAUCUAUGCAUCAGAUAUGCAUGUCCAUCAUGAGGAUUCAGCUUAUCAAUAGUCUCAUCCGGGUAUUCUAUGCAUCAGUUAUGCAUGCAUACUCUAGUGGAAAAUUCAGUGUGUCAGUAAUUUCUGUCAUUUAGUUAUGUUUUUGAUAUUCAUGUCCCUUAAGUAAGUUUAAUUAAUCAGUCAUCGUAAGUUAUCAAUCGACAUUCGAGGAUAAAUGAUUCCAAAGGGAAGAUAAUGUAACACUUCACAUUUUGGACUAGAAUGAAAAUCCGUCAUUCAUAUGCGUAGACAUUCCAAAAACCUGAAAUCCUAUGUAAAUUUAGUGUGUUAAUCAAUUAUGUAGUGUGGGAAUAUAUUUGAGAAAGAAUUAAGAUAAUAGAUAUCCCUAACUCAAGGACAAGUUGAAACAUUUUCUAUCGUUCAAGUUUUAGUGAGCGUCAAAACUUGGGUCAACUUUAAUCAACCAUAAAUACUUGUGUAUAUAAAAUUAGAAAACCUACUAUAUGUCAAAUAAAAGCUCUUUGAAUUAUAUUUCCAACAAUACCAAUUUUGUCCAAAUCCAAUAUCGGAGAAAAGAGUUUGCCUAUUUUACUCCAGCAUGUCAGCCUGGAAAACUAACUGACAAUAUUUUGUGAUAAGUUAUCGCAAGUAUGACGAUUUAUUACAAAUGUCGUCAGCCUUAGGAAGAAAUCCACCCCAAUGACGAUAUUUUGUGAUAAGUUAUCACAAGUGUGACGACUUAUCACAAGAUCGUCAGCCUUAGUUAGAAAUCCAUCAAUUCCAGCCCCUCAGUGACGACAUUUUUGAUGACUUAUCACAAGUCUGAUGGUUUAUCACAAAUGUCGCCAGCCUUUGAUUUUCAGCAAUUGGGAAGUGGUUUAAUAAGGGUAUUUUGGUAUUUUUCUCCACUUCCCAUGACUUAAAACCCUCAAGGGAUGUAACUUUCUCCUAUUUUUCUUCAGUUAAACAUCUUAAAAAUUAUCUCAUACACUCUAAACCACAAGAUUAGGGUUUCCUCUCAAGAUCAUCUCUUCAAGAAUAAGAACAUUCUCUCCCAAAGGGGUUAAACCCUAGUCAAGAAAAAAAAUCAAGAGCAAGCCUAAGGAUUUCUUCAAGAAACUUCAAGAAACAUUAGAUCUCUUUCAAGAUUCAAUCACUAAGGUAUGCGUAGUGUUCAUCCAUGGAUCCCUUUCAUCCAUGGAGCUCAAGAAUCAUGUUUUAAAUUAUAAAUUAUGAUUUCCUUAUUGUGUUAUGACUAUAUUCAUGUUGAUGAUUGUUCUUUGGAUUCAAGGUUGUAUCUUGAUGUGUUUUUAAUGAAGUAUGUGAGUAGGUUAGUUGAAACCCAUGAAUUUUGGAUGGAUUAAGAUUGUCAAAUUGAUAAGUACACCUAUGCCCAAAGUUGUGCAUGUAAGGUGUUUGAUAAAAUUCCAAGAAUGAUACAAUCUAUGUUUUUAUGACUUAAUAGUGUUAAAAUGACAAGUCCAUGUUCUAUUCCUUAUGUUUCCACAUGAAUUCCAUGUUAUUGAUAUGUGAUUUUGUUAUGAGUUGUUGUUGUGAUAUGGAAUGUCCAUGAUAUUGAGGUAUGCAAGUAUACCCAUGUUUUAUGUAUUCCCUUGCAUGUAUAAGGUGUUGAGAAACAUGUGUAGUAUGAAAUCCCCUACUUAUGGUUUUAAGAAUUGUGGAUGUUAUUCCUAUAAUCAAGAAGUAUCAUGUGUGUUAGGUUUCUUCCAUCGAGUCCUGGGGGUACUUGUACCCAAAAAAUAUAACUGUGUGCCUAGAGCCGAGUCAGUCUCAAGAUAAUCUCAGUCGUGCUAUGAUCAGUAGAACUUAGUCAGUUAUAAAAUCCAGAACUCUCGAACAGUUAUAGAAUUUAAGAAAUCUUAGUAAUCUAAGUAUCAUUAUCAUUCCACUUUCAGUUCAGUACUUAGCUCAGAUCUCAGUAGCAUUCAAGAAAUCAAUUUAAAACUUAGUAUUAUUCAGUCAGAUAAUAGAUUUUGUAGUAUUUUGUCAGAUAACGGAACCAAGUGAACUCAAUCAGCUCAGUCAAGUAAGAAACUCAGUAACAGCUUGAGUUCAGUUCAAGUACAAGUUCUAAGAAUCAGUUCAGAGUUUUUCAGUUGGGAGUAAGAGCUAGCACUGAGUGAGUACAGGGAUGACAGCUCCCCGUCAGAGAGGCAGAGUCGUUAGGAGCAAUCCCUGAACUCCAGAACUGUCAGAGAGGCUUAACUAUUAUAACGCCUUAGGCUUGACUUCCUAUGAGGGUCACCCAUUAGGUAGCCUUAACCAGAGAGGUCUUUACCCAUGGCAUGGUAUUGAAACCCUUCUAUGUGGGGUUACAGGUGGGACCCCAUUAGUUCACACUCGAGGCAUGUUGGUUAAGUGAGAAUUUCCACAUUUACAAUUUUAGUAUCAGUUUUUAGAGUAGAACUCAGAAAUCAGGACUGUCAGAUACAAUCAUUAAUCUCAGUAAGAAACUCAGAUAGUUCUAAAGAUUUAUAGACCACCCGCUAGAUGGGCUUGGUCUAACAUAAAGUUAUUCAGUAUUAGUACUUGUAUAGGUCACCCAUCAAAUAGGCUUGAUCUCAGUCUUAAAUUCAGUUGAGUAUUCUCAAUACCAGUUCCAGAGAUUACCCAUUAGUUAGGCCUGAUCUCAAGCUUAGUCACUCUUAUUCAUUAUUAAGAGAUUUAGACUGUUAGAUACAGUCGCUCAGUAUCAAUUACAUCGGUUAGGCCGAUCAUCAUAGUUAUAUCAGUUAGGUCAGUCAUCAUAGCUUACGUUAUCAGUAUUUGGUUUCAGGGCUGUUAGACACAGUCAAUCAGACCAGUUUUUCAUAAUUCAAACUGUUAGAAAUAGUCGUUCAUCUAUUCAGUAUCUCAGAAUUAGUAAACUCAUGUUGUCAGCAUGCUGACUUAGUAGUUAGUAUCACCAUGAGUUCAAUUAUAGUUACUUAUACAUGUAUGUAUUCUUAUGUUCAUACCAGCCAGCAUUUUUUAUGCAUAUAAAUCCUUUGCAUUUAGCCUACCUCACUCGUAUACUCAGUACAAUCAGAUGAACUGAUGCAUUUGCGCUAUGGCAUUUUAUUUUAUACCAUAGGUUCAGAGGCACGAGUUCCAGAGCAGUAGAAACAUUGCAAAUUUCAGAAGUCAAAGUUAAAAGUAAGUCCUCAUCCUUCGAGGACAUGAUUAUUUCUCUAUCAUCUGAUUAAUUAGUUCAUUAAAUGGAGUUAGUUGGGGACAUAUCCCAUCAGCGCCUUAUUCAGAUUAUUCAAAUAGUAGAGGCUUUCAGACUAGAUGCAGACUAGAUUAUAGACUAGAUUCAAACUUUAGUAUUUCAGUUCUAUUUUGGUAUUGUGAUACCUCUUUAUUCAGACAUUUUUAUUACUCAGAUUAUGUUCAGUAUUGAACCUUAUGACCUUCAGUUUAUGUUUUCGUAUUUAUAUUUAUAUAUUAUGCAGUGUACAGAUACAGAUAUUAGUUAGCUUGCAGUUCUUCGGGGUUAUGAGCACCUUGUAGUAUUCUGGUUUAGAUAAUUGGGGUGUUAUAAGGACCCUCAGGAAUUCCUAGAUCAGGUGCAGAAGGUUACAAACAUAAUGGGGGUUACUUCUAUUGAGAGUGCUGAGCUAGCUGUAUAUCUGUUGGAUGAUAUUGUUCAUACUUGGUUUAAACAGUGGAAGUCAGAAAGGCCAGAUAAUGCAGGGCCUGUUAAGUGGAGGAGUUUACUUCUACUUUCCUUGAUAGAUUCUUUCCCCUAGAGCUUAGAGAAGCUAAGGUGUUAGAAUUCAUCAACUUCAGGUAGGGAACUAUGAUGGUGAAAGAGUAUUCUCUUAAGUUUACUCGAUUAGCCUGAUAUGCCCCUCAUGUGGUUGCAGAUAGUAGGGCCAAGAUGAGUAAGUUCAUUUUAUGGGUAAAUGAUAGUGUGGUUAACGAGUAUAGAUCCGCCAUGUUAAAUAGUGACAUGACUUUAUCCAAGCCUAUGACUCAUGCUCAGUAGAUAGAGGAGCAGAAUAUUAAGCAGAGGGAGAAGCAGAAUAAGAGAGCUAGGACAAGUAGCUUUAAUUUUAGUCAUCUUAAGUCAGAGGGUGGUAAUUGCUCCCAGAUUCAUCCUAAGUCACUAGUUCCAGCUCCUUCAUUAGCCAGUGCUCCAGUUCCUAAGUUUAGAGAGGGUAACAAAGACAGAGCGCCAGGCUCUAAGUCUCAGGGCAAUGUUAGCAGUGCCCAAACAAAUUCCCUUUGUCAGACUUAUGGUAAAAACCACAAGGGUGCUUGCAGAGCUGGUAUCGAUUUCUAUUUCAGAUGUGGAAAGCCAAGCCACAGAGUUAAAGACUUCCCCCAGUUAGGUUAUCAGAGUCAUCUCCGCUCCUCAGCUCAGUUCAGUCGCCCAAAUCAGCAGGGUGCCACCUCCAGUGCUAUAAGUGGGCAAUGUCCAAACAGACUCUAUGCUCUCCAGUACCGGCAAGAUUAAGAAAAUUCUCCUGAUGUGGUUACUGGUAUGUUACAGAUAUAUUAUGUGCAUGUUUAUGCUUUGCUAGAUCCAGGUGCUUUCUUAUCUUUUGUUACUCCCUAUAUCGUAGUUGAUUUUAGAGCCAAUCCCAAAAUUUUAGCAGAGCCCUUUUUAGUCUUUACCCCAAUGGGUAAAACCAUCAUAGCCCAAUGGGUAUACAGAAACUGCUCGGUUAUGAUAUUUCAGAAAGUCACUUCAGCAGAUCUAGUCGAAUUAGAGAUAACUGAUUUUGAUAUCAUUCUCAGUAUGGAUUGCCUUCAUUCUUGCUAUGCCACCGUCGACUGCAGAAAUAGGAUAGUCCAGUUUUAGUUCCCAAAUAAACCCAUCCUUGAGUGGAAGGGUAGUGUAUCCACUUUCAGGGGUCAGCAUAUUUCCUACCUUCGGGCAAGAAAAAUGAUAUCUAAGGGAUGUGUCUAUCAUCUUGUUCAUGUUAAGGAUUCCAAUUCCAAAACUUCCAGUCUUAAAUCUAUUCUAGUUAUGAAUAAAUAUUCAGAUGUCUUUCCCGAAGAUCUUCCAGGAUUUCUCCCAGAAGGGAAAUAGACUUCGGUAUUGAUCUUCUUCCAAAUACUCAGCCUAUCUUUAUUCCGCCAUACAGAAUGGAACUAGCAGAAAUUAGAGAAUUGAAAGAAUAGUUGAAGGAUCUCCUAGAUAAAGGAUUCAUCAGGCUCAACAUUUCCCCAUGGGGUGAACCAGUAUUAUUCAUACGCAAGAAAGAUAGUUCUCUUAGAAUAUGCAUAGACUACCGUUAACUUAAUAAGGUCACGGUCAAGAAUAAGUAUCGUCUUCCCAGAAUCGAUGACUUAUUUGACCAACUUUAGGUGCUAGUUAUUUCUCUAAGAUAGACCUUAGAUCCGGCUAUCAUUAGCUCAGAGUCAGAGAAUAUGGCAUUCAAAAAAUAGCUUUCUGUACUCGGUAUGGUCACUUUGAAUUCCUAGACAUGUCAUUUGUUCUUACAAGUGCCCUAGCAGCUUUUAUGGACUUGAUGAACCGCGUGUUCAGAUAGUACUUGGACAUGUUCGUCAUAGUCUUCAUAGAUGAUAUUCUGGUCUAUUCCUGUAGUGCGCGAGAUCAUGUAGACCAUCUCAGAAUAGUACUUUAGACUCUCAGAGAUCAUCUGCUAUUUGCCAAAUUCAGUAAGUACAAAUUUUGGAUAAGGUCAAUAGCAUUCCUUGGUCAUAUUAUUUUGGGUGAUGGCAUUAGAGUAGAUCCUCAAAAGACCAAAAUGGUAAAAAACUGGCCCAGACCUAUCUCUCCAUUAGAUAUCAGGAGUAUCUUGGGUUUGGCUGGCUAUUAUAGAUGGUUUGUUGAGGGAUUUUCUUCUAUUGCAUCCCCUAUGUCUAGAUUGACUCAGAAGAAAAUCAAGUUUCAGUGGUCAGAUCCUUGUGAGAAGAGUUUUCAGGAGUUGAAGACUCGACUUACCUCAGCUCCAGUUUUAGCUCUUCCAGAUAGUCCAGAUGGGUUUAUAAUGUAUUGUGAUACAUCCAGAGUGGGUUUAGGUUUCCUUAUGCAACAUAGUAAGGUCAUGGCCUAUGCCUACAGACAGCUUAAACACCAUGAGAAGAAUUAUCCUACUCAUGAUCUUGAGUUAGUAGCCAUAGUCUUUGCCUUGAAGAUUUUGAGGCAUUAUCUCUACGAAGUUCAUGUAGAUAUAUUCACAGAUCAUAAGAGUCUUCAGUAUUUCUUUUCUUAGAAAGAUCUCAAUCUUUAUUAGAAAAGGUGGUUAGAGCUCUUGAAAGAUUAUGACAUAAGUAUCCGCUAUCAGCCGGGAAAGGCCAAUAUAGUGGUCGAUGCUCUCAGUAGACUGUCUAUAGGUAGUGUUGCUCAUGUGGAUGACAGUAAGAAAAAGUUAGCUUAGGAAGUACAUCAGCUUGCCAGACUAAGCGUUGGCUUAUUUGAUACAGAUGAGGGUGAUAUAUGGGUUCAAAGUAGUUUAGAAUCAUCUUUAGUGUUCGAGGUGAAAGAAAAGCAAGAUAGAGAUCCCAACCUUAUCAAGUUGAAAGAGUCAGUUCAGGAUCAGAAAUUAGAGGUUUUAUCCCAAGGGGGAGAUGCUGUUUUGCGUUGUUAGGGUCAUCUCUAUUUUCUAGGUGUAGAUGACUUAAGGUAGUGAAUUCUUGCAGAAGUGCAUGGUGCGCACUACUCUAUUCAUUCAGGGGCCACAAAGAUGUACUGCGACUUGUGGGAAGUUUAUUAGUGGAGUGGGAUGAAGAGAGAUAUUGCAGAGUUUGUGGCUAAGUACUCUACAUGUCAGCAGGUUAAGAUAGAGCAUCAGAAGCCUAGUGGUCUUAUGCAAGAAUUCAUUAUUCCUACUUGGAAGUGGAAAGAAGUGAACAUGGACUUCGUGAUGGGUUUUCCUCGAACUCGUCAUUAGUAUGAUUUAGUUUGGAUCAUUGUAUACAGGAUGACCAAAUCAGCCCAUUUCCUUCCAGUUCAUACCUCUUAUUUAGCUAAGGAUUACCCUAGACUCUACAUUAGGGAGUUGGUUAGAUUACACAGCUUUCUGCUAUCUAUUAUCUUAGACAAAAGUACCCAGCUCACCUUUCACUUCUGUAAAGCAUUCCAAAAGGAUCUUGGUACCCAAGUUCAUCUCAGUACAACCUUUUAUCCUCAGAUAGAUGGUCAAGCAGAAAGAACCAUUCAAACCUUAGAAGUUAUGCUACGGGCGAGUGCAAUUGAUUUCAAGGGUAGUUGGGAUGACCACUUUCCUUUGAUUGAGUUUGAAUACAAUAACAACUUUUAUUUCAGUAUUCGAAUAGCUCCAUUCAAAGAUCUCUAUGGUAGGAGAUAGAUCUCCAAUCGGUUGGUUCGAAGUUAGUGAGGCCUCAAUCAUAGGGCCUGCCUUAGUAUUCGAUGCCUUAGAAAAAGUCUAGUUGAUUAGAGAAAGACUCUGGGCUGCUCAGAGCCGACAGAAGUCUUAUAUAGAUAUUCAUAGAAAAUAUCUUGAGUUCAAUAUUGGUGAUUAUAUCUAUCUAAAUAUCUCUCCUAUGAAGGGAUUCAAGCGGUUCGACAAGAAAGGGAAACUCAAUCCCCGAUAUAUCGGUCCCUUCAAGAUUCUCAGUCGAUUCGACAAGGUAGCUUAUGAGGUCGAAUUGCCUUCAGAUCUAGCCUCAGUUCAUCCAGUCUUCCAUGUCUCUUUGCUCAAGAAGUGCAUAGGUGACCCAGCAAUUGUAAUCCCUAUUCAGAGCAUUAAUGUUUAGAAUAGUCUCUCUUAUGAGGAAAUUCCAGUCGAAAUCCUAGACUAUCAAACUCGUAGACUGAGGAACAAAGAAGUCCCUCUAGUUAAAUUUCUUUGUCAAAAUUAGUCUGUCGAGGGAGCUACUUGGGAAGCAGAAUUAGACAUGUGUACCAAGUGUCCUUACCUCUUCUACGCCAACUCAGAUUAAGCUCAAGGUAACAGUCCUCCUUAAGCUUACUCAGUUUCAUGUUCAAUGUUCAUCAUAAACUUGGUAUCAAGUACCAUUGCAUAUUCAGUCAUGCAUUUAUGUAUCAGUUCAUUUAUAUAAUUAUACAUCAGAUAUGCAUUCUUAUUGUGAGAAACUUAGUUUCUCAGAACACUCAGUCAUGCAUUCAUGAAUUAUUUACAUAUGUAUCAGAUAUCUAUGUUCAGUAUGAUAUAUUCAGUUAUCAGUUAUGUAAGUCAUGAGAUCAUAUUUUAUUUAUUCAUGUUCAGUAUGUAUGUCAGUUUAUGUUCUUCCCCUUACUCUCAUUUUUAUUCAAGGACGAAUGUUCUCAAGGGGGAGAUAUUGUAAUACCCCAUACCUUUUCCUAGCUUGAAAUUAUCUAAAAAAUGUUAGGAUCCUUCUUUGAAAGAUGAAUCCACUUUUCUAAAUAUGGUAUUUUUAAUAUUUUUACUUUUUGUCAUGUGGGAAAUUCAAUAAGCUUUUCAUCGAUAUAAAAUUCGCCUAAAUCUGAUAACCGGGUAAGAAGUUAUGACUAUUUUAAGUUUCCAUCGUAAAACAGCACCAUAUUGGUUAGUGGCACACCGUACCACAAGAUAAAAUGGCAAUUGUCCUUUUCCAGUGUCUCAGCGUGAUUUUCUCUACGUCGCGCCAAAGUUCCAGGUUGCAAAAGAAGGGGCAACACGAUGGCUCCACAUCAUGCCAUCCCUCAGUUUCCCAAUUGUCAAAUUCCAAUGACACGUUGCGAUAGCACCGCAUCGCGCCAGGGGUCCAAUUUGAGAAAUUUUUAUUAAAAUUACAAGACACGUCCAGGGUUAAAGGGGUUAAUUUUCCACCCCUAUUUAAACCCUUUAAUACGUGAUUCAACUACUUUUAAUCCAAAAUACACUCUCUUCUCUCAAAAACCUCUCAAGAACAACCUAGGGCUUUUCAUAGAAGAUUCAAAAUCAAUAAUUUCCUUCAUCAAUCUUCGUGUAUUUACAAACCAAGGUAUGCAUAGUAUAUAUUCAUGGACUCCUUUCAUCCAUGAAGCCCAAGAAUCCCUUUUCUAAAUUCAAGUUUAUGGAUUUUCUUAUGAAUUUCAUGAUUGGGAUGCUCUUGUUCAUAUGGAUAAUAAGAAACUGAAUUCUACUCCAUGUUGGGUGAUAAAUUCUAUGGGGUUAAAUUAUUAUAGAUAUAGAUUUAUGCAAACCUAUAACUAAACCCUUGAAUGAUGAAAUUAGAAUUGAACCAUAAUGUUUAAUUAUUGUACAAUGAUGUUUACAUGUACCGUGCCUACAAUAUGUUUGAUUAAAUGCCUAGAUGAAGGAAAGGUACCUAACUAGUACGAUACCAUGAAAUCCCCAUUUAUGUACAAGUUAUGCCUAUCACGUAUUUUGAUGAAAUGCUUCUAUAAAUAUAUUAUGGAUUAUGAUGUUAGUUAUAUAUUCAAGUAAGUUAUGCUUGGUCAGUUUCCUUCCAUCGAGUCCUGGGGCUACUCGUACCCAAAACAUUAGCUGUGUGCCUAGAGCCAUGUCAUGUUUUCACGUUACUCUCAGUUAAGCUAUGAAUCCUUGGACUUCAGACAGUCUUAUGGCUCAGGAAAUAUCCAUGAUCUCAUGAACUCAGUCAGUUGUCAGAUAUUAGUAGUAUUCCGUCAGUCAACAAAAUUUAGUAACUCAGCCCAUGUUCAGUUCAGUAAAUCAUGUUCAGUCUAUUCAGAUGGGAGUAGAAAUUAUCACUGAGUGAACCCAAGGAUGGGAACACACACUAUCAGAUGAGGGUGUGAUUCUUAGAAGUCAUCCUUGCAUUCCAGAACUAUGUAGCCAGCAUAGAUUGAGACAUCAAUACUGUCCGAUGAGGGUUGAUAAGGUGGAUAAGUACUGUUAGAUAAGGGCCCCACUAUUCUCUUUUGGGAACACUAUCAGAUGAGGGUCACCCACAGCUUGUCCUUACCAGUGGUGCGGUAUUGACACCCUUCUAAUUGGGGUUAUAGAUUGGACCCCAACUCAGCCAUAAUGGCAUAUUAGGGGCAUGUCGGUUAGAUAACUACUUCCUAUAGUUUUAUGUUAAAGAAUCAGGACUGUCAGACACGAUUAAUAAGUCUCAAUAAUAGAACUCAAAUAGUUCUUCAAAUUUUAGGACUAUCAGAUAUAGUCAACUCAGACGGGACUCAGCUAGUUCCAUUAGAUCCAGGACUGUCAGAUACAGUCACUCAUGUUAUCAUUUAUAUCAGUUAUCAGUAUGUCAUGUUAUCAGUAUUCAGAUUUAGUAAUCAUGUUAUCACGGUAUCAAUGUUAGUUAUUGUCUCAUGCAUGUAUUCUCACGCUAAUGAUAGUCAGUCUGCUAUUGUUAUUGUUCAUGAAUAUGAACCCUAUGCAUUCAACCUACCUCACAUGCAUACCAGUACAUUCAAAGUACUGACGCAUUUGCGUUAUGGUAUCUUAUACAUAGGUUCAAAGACACGAGCUCCAGAGCAUCAGUAGAUUCCAGUCUCUACUGUUAGAGUUAGCAGUGAUUCCUCAUCUUUUGAGGACAUGAUCAUCAUUUUAUUAUCUCAGUAAUUAGUUUAUUAGUUGGAGUUAGUUGGGGACAUAUCCCAUCAACUCCUUAUUCAGACAGUCACGUUUUAGAGGUUUUCCAGACUAUAGUAUGUUCAGAUAGCUUAUUUCAUUUGUUUUGGGUAUUUCAUACCCCUCUCAGAUAUUAUAUUUUUAUCAAAUACUAUGUCUCAGUUGUGAACCUUAUGGCCUUUCAGUUCAUGCUUUUCGCAUUAUAAAGUAUUUCAUGCAGUAUACAUAUACAAAUAUCAGUCAUAGGUUAGCUUGUGGUCCUUUGGGGUCAUGAGCACCGUGUAGCAUUCCGGGUACCAAAUAUAGGGCGUUACAGUUUGCGACACCCUUGGGUGCUUUUUCAAUUUGUUAGUCAACUUUUAUGUAAUAAAGUUCUUUUUGCUACGUGAAGGAGUUAGAGGUUACAUAAAGGCUAUUGUAUUAUUAGUUAAUAUGAGAAAUUGGAGUGAAUACUUCAUCUAUUUUGAAUGUUUUUUCGCCAUCUUUGAGAUCAUUUUGCUUUCUAAGCCGAGGGUAUAUCGAAAAUAACUUCUCUAUCUCUACGAGGUAGAGGUAAAAUUUGAGUACACUCUACCCUUCUCAGGCCCCACUUGUGGGAUUGCACUUGGUAUACUGUUCUUUGAUGAUCACUUUUUGUUUAUUAGUUAUUGAAAAAUUAAGAGGAUUAAAAGAUAAAAUGUUGUGUUCUUGUGCAUUGUUCUUUGUUCGUUUUUGUUGAUAAAAUUAGACUAAGAAUGUUACUAUUAAAAGUGCAGUUUAUCAAUUUAUUAUUCAAUCUUUCAAGUACUGUGGUAGUGUAUUUUCUUUUUCUUUAUUAAGUUGCACGGUAUGUAAUAAAGGUUUCUUCUUUCUAUGUGAAGGAGUUGGUGGUUACAAGGAGGCUAUACAGUAUUAUAAGUUAAAUGGAGGCUUGUGGCAGAUAUUCUCUUCAGCAACCUAUUUCAGUAAAGGGAUCAGCUUUCCCUUUAAGGGGUGAAAUGAAACUAAAUGGGAAUCCAUUUGUAAUGGAUAAUUUUAAUUUUAAAGGGGCAAUUUUGGUAAUAUGAGAGAAAAUAUUAAAUUGAAGGGUAUAUUUUACAAGUUUGCUCACAAUGAGGGUAUAAAUAUCCCCAUAGUUUAAUAAAGGGCAAAGUUAGUCAAUUAACAAAAGUAGAGGGGUAUAUUUGACCCCUUUCCCUUUUUAUAAUAUUGACUUCUAAAAUGUGUAUAAGGUAAGGGAAAAAAGGGUAAAGAAUCCUUAAUUACAUGAGUAAGUAUAUGGUAAAAAAUAUUAUACAUGGAAAUAAAAUUUUGAAAAAAUCUAAAUCAAUUAAACUUGAUUAUUGAAAUUUCAUAUUUGAAUCAUAUACGAAGUCUAUUCCCUGCAAUCUAGGCUUUUAGCCCAAUUAAAAUACUUAAUUUUUCUAAUUGUAAGAAUUUGCCAACUAUUUUUAACUAAGCAUAUCUCUCUCAUUGGUGUAGACUAAUUGUAAAUUCUCCGUUUUGAUGUGAUGUGGUAGAAUACUCAUUUGUUUUAAUUUUUGUAUGCGUGGGCAAAUAUAGUUGUUUUUCAAUAAUUUUUUUUUAUGUAGAUCUCAAACAAAUAUGGCUUUGAUAAAUUUUUGUUAGGUUAUUCUUUAGAUUGAUUAUUAUCAUUAUUUGUUGAUAUUAGAUGUGCUUGCAAAGCUUUGCUUGGAUGUCAGUGUGCGCUCUCAAUCGGUCCUAUUUAUGUUUUAUAUUGAAUUUAUUAAUUAAUUUUGUCUAAUGUCAUUGUGUAGGGCAUACCCAAAAAAGUUACGCUUAGAAUUUCAAAGAUAUGACUCGACAAAGAAAGUUGCCCUCCGAAUGUUCCUUUAUUCUCUAUGACACGAGGGCAUUGACAGUGGUAGAUUGAUUCAUACUUUUAGUGAACGCUUCUUCUUUUUCUUGUUGUAGCGAGUAAGGCAGUGAAUCUUGCUCUCAACAACAAUCAACAAUAAAUUUGGAAUCCUUUCUUUUUCAGUUUGUAUUAAGAUGCUUCUAGCUUGCACCUAUUUUUUUGGAUAAGGUGGUAGAGAUCCUUGAGAAUCAAAGGAGCAAGUCUACCGAGCCUUUAAAAUUAUGAGAAUCGUGCUACCAUAGAAAUAAUAUCUAGCAGUAGUACUGAUAAUAAUGGGCUUUUUAAAAUGAGCAGUACUUGUAAAUCUAUUUACAUUAGUGUACUAUUCAUGUUUAUUGGAAAUAAUCAUACAAGUCUCGAACUUUCACCUAUACGUGCAUAUAUGUGCAUAUGCUACUUUUCAACUCUUUUUUGAUGUAGAAUCAUUUUGCAUUUAUAAACAGAUCUUUUUGUGUGAUUGUCUAAGUUAGACUUUGUCAUCAUGAUCAAUCUUAAUUUGAAGGUGGAAAUUGCCACAAUGAAAAAUAACUUGAAUUGUAGGUUUAUUCUGAAGACUUAUAGUUGGUUAAAUGAUUCUUUGUCUUUUUGACCAAUCCCUUCAUGUCGGCUGACAAUUCGUCUAAUAUGUCCACUUAAUUAUUCAAGUUUAAUAAUUUUAUAUGGACAUUAUGUUAACUGUACAAAUGUUAAUAUAUAGCAUUAGUUAUAAGGUUGUUGUUUAAUUAAUGAAUUAAAAGUAAUUGAAGACACCUUAACAAAGAGAAUUUCCUCAUUAUGUGUAAUUCGACAAAGUAUGAGACCCCGAGGGUCUCACACGCACAAUCCUACUCCAUCUAACUCCGAGUUACCCCUUGCACUUCAUUUGAUUAUUUUCACCACCAUCAAGAAUAAUGUAGAUUUAUAAUUUUGUUUUAUUUGUUAGUUGGCUUUACUAAUUUUUUGAAAAUAUAUAACAACAAUUAGUGUCGAGUAUAAUUUUUUUAUAUUACAUAUUUUGGGAUACAUGUGCAACGCACGUCCCCAUAGACUAGUUUAUUAUAAAUGUAUGGAAAGACUUCUAAAUUUACGAAAAAUUUUGUAGGUACAUGAUUCAUAAAUACAUGGAAAGCAAAACACAUAAAGUUACCUUAUUUAUAUAUAUAACAAAAUAUUCUACCAUUGUACUUAAAUAAUAUUUUGAUCAAAUUUUAUAAAAACCAAUCGACUUUUUCAACCCAAAAAAAACAUAUGGUUGCUUCUAUAGAUGUAAGGCUUCUUCUACUUCUAUGACUUUUCGUUGAUGAUGGCAACUCCGAUCGCCAAGGAUAGCAACUUCAAAGAUGAUAGCUUUAUGUUAUGUCCACUGAAGAUAAUAUUAGGGUUUCACGCCUUUUUGACAACGAAAUUCAAAUCAUAAAGGAUUUGGUCUCUUUUUUUUGUCCUACUCAUAGUUAUUUUGUGUUUGUUGAAUGUGUUUGUUGUAUUUUUUUGUCUCAAUUUAUUUUGAUCGAAUUUUUAAAAUACUUGUUGUACUGUAAGUUUAAGUUUAUGAUUAUACAACAUAUGUUUCAUUGAACUUUUAAAGAAUGAUUUAUUUUUCGGUGAAUUGGAUAGUUAUAUUUAGCACAAUAUAGUUUAGUAAACAAAACCAAUAAACAGUCGGCUAGACAACUCUGGAUUAAUUACUAAUUACAUAGGAACUUGGGGCAUUCUCCAUAUUAGAGUUUGAAGAAGUAUUAAUCCUUUUUUUCAAAAAUAGUUUUUAGUAUAUCUGUCCAUACUUCAUAAACAUACAUGGGAGGAACUACAAAAAUCGUGUGACCUCUAUAGUCUGCAAAUUUUGUUCCUUUCUUUGCUAGGACUUCUGCCACCCCAUUUUGGUCCAUGUAACUAUGUUGCACCACUAGACAUCCCAGUGUCAGGACUCGAGUUCUUAGUCAUGAUGGCACCUACUUUAUCUUCCCAGUAGGUAAGCUAAACUGUAGCUCAAAGCUAUAAGCAAUGGGCACAUUUGGUGGAAAAUGACAUAAAUGUCAAAAAAAUUGCAAGUAAGACUUACAACGAUAAAUCAAGUAAUAAUAAUAAUAAUACAAAAGAUAGAUAAGAUAACAAUAAUAUUCCACAACCUAGUAGUGUCGGUGCAAGAGCCACUAACAAAAGAAUAUGAGUAUUGUAAUAGUCAAAUAUACAUCAGUUUCAAAUAAUGAAAGAUUGAAGUAGAAAGAAGGACAAAGCUCAACUCUGGCUUUGAGAGCUUACCCUAUCCCCGAAUUCUAAUCAACAUAAUCAUAUCUUCAGGGUUGGCCACUAGUACUCGGAUCUGCACCUAAAAGGUACAAAGGUGUGGCAUGAGUAUUAAAGUCACGGGUACUCAAUAGGUAUCAUUGACCGACUGAGCUAAAUUAUAAUAUGAAUAUAAUAAAAAUGCAAGAUAAAUAAGCUAAUUCAAGGUAAAAGGAAAAAUUUGAAAUAAUACUUCAAAUGCUAUAAAUGAAUAAAUAGAUAAUCCAAAAUAAUUACACAAAGAAUACAUAACUAUCACCACAAAACUAGUCCCCAUAAGUCGAUAAAUGUGGAAAAUUAAAUAACCUAACAUGGGCCUCCAUAAGCCCGGAGGGUGCAAUCAAAGAGAAGUAAUAACCGACAAUCAUCCUAAGUAACCGCAUCUCAAAUCAUAACCGUGAAUCCUUUCUGACCAUAAUUUAUCAUAAAUAAUCUCACAAUGUCGGACUCAGACCGAAUCUCAAACCCAUCAUCAUCAUUGUCGAACUUGAAUCAGAACUCAAAUUAUCAAUUAUCGGACUUGAACCGAAACUCAAAAUUAUAAAAAGUCAAACUUAAACCAAAACUCAUAAAAUCAAAAAUCACUAGACUUGAAUCGAAACUCAUAAAAUUAAUAAAUCGCCAGACUUGAACCAAAACUAGCAUCAACUCUCAAGUGUUAAUCUAGAAAAAGCAUCCUAUAAUCAACCUCUUCAUGCUCCUAAAUAUGCAAUUUAAUGGGUAAAAUAUGCCUAUCAAUUCUACAGGGAGCUAAUAAUUGUCUUGACCUACGGUGGGCCCGAGGGUCCCACUUCUAAUCUUCGAAAUCUAUUUUAAGGCAAAUUCUACCUCAGACUAGGCUAAUGCAUCUAAAUUCACUUUUAGAAGUUAAAUGAGCAACAUUUAGUCUUAAGAUAGCAAUUCUACCCUAAACAUGAGUAACUAAAUCAAUUACGCCUAAUUUACGGUUCCUUACUAGGCUAAAUAAUUCAAAUACACUAAUUAUACCUUCAAGAUCUAUUUUUAACUGAUAUAUAGUAUAUUAUCAUAAAUAUACUAUGAUUAAGAUUAAUAUAAAAGAAAGGUAAACCUAGCCUAUCUAGACGCCGAAGAAAGUCUGGUAAAAGUCUCUAUAUUGAUGAUUUUCCUAUUCAAGAAGAUUUUGCAUGACAUCGUGCUAUUAAAAGGAUAAUCUAUUCAUCAAUCUAGAACAAUAAUACUCAUAUUGUAUUUUUAUGCUUCGAGUCUAAAUUUAUGUAAAAAUUUCAUGUGGAGCCCAUUUGUGGAUCGCACUUUCAAAACCGUCAGCACGUCCCUCUAUGCUCAAGAAAUAUUUACUCUCAAGAAUGGAUAAAUUCUGAGCUCAAAUGGUUCUACAAUCAAUCCACUAAUAAUCUAAAAAUUUUGAGAAAUUACUAAGAAAUUCACCAUGAAAUUAAUGAAAACGUACCAAAAUUUUGGAGGAGAAAUGAGUGAUUCAAGCUUACAAAUACCACAAAAUAACCUAUUAAUAUUUUUCCCAAGUUUUUAUACUCUCUAGGGUUCUAGACUCUUGAACUUGUGUGAAAAAUGGAAGAAAAUCGAACUAAUUGGGGAAUUUAAUGGAACCUAAGUGUCUCUUAAGUGGACGCUGGGUCGUAUAAACGGUAUCGCUUUCACGGCCAAGUGAUGCUUUUGCGAUACCUGAGUCAUUUGCACAUUUCAUGUAAGAAACCCGAAUCAUGCUUAAGCGUUACUUGCUUAUGCGAUGGGGGACUUGCUUACGCAACCCUUAACUGGAAGCAUGGUCUCUUAUGCGAUCGGCUUGCCGCGAUCGCUGGCUCCACUUUAAAGACCAAAAUGGCGCUUAAGCGGAUACACCGAGUGGUGCAUCAGCUGGGGACUUACAAAUUUUUAAGUCUCCACCGACUCUUCGAGAUUCAUUAAAAAUCCUGUGAAUGCAAAAAAAUUAUUCUCCCUACCAAAUUUGAUUUUUUAGACUCAAUAAAGCAGUUAAAAUUUUCAUCUGAGGUCGUUUCGAUGAAAAGUGGUGUGCCAUUUUUAUUAAUUUUUGGGCAAUAGUCUUGAAUAAGUUCGAACGCCUUGAAACCUAAACCAAAGGCCCCCUAGCCUAAAAUUGACAUUUUGGAGUUGUUGGAACUGUUAGAAUUAGCAUAUAAGAUUGUUUAUUGAUGUUUUUCUCGAUAGCCAAUUCUUACCAGUGAAGACUUCAAAAUAGAAAAUUAACUUUAAGAACAAACAAACUACCCCGUAAUCGAACUAUUAUCUCCACCAAGUCAUAAUUGACUUGGUAUAGUUAUAACAAAGCUCUAAACAAUGACUAUGAGUGGAAAUGCAAAAAAUAACCUGGAAAAUCAUUACACCAGUCUCCUUAACCUCAACCUGCAAUCAUAGAUAAUAGGUUUAUUUUCCAUCAUUAAGUAUUAAUAUGAUUUCUUAGAAUCAGUGUUAAUAUCAAGGGGGUAAGGUGGUUGUCUUCUACAACUUUUAUCCAUUCAUUUAAUGCAAGAAGCUCUAUUUGUUUAUUUGUAGCUAUGUGGUAGAUUUUGUGGAAUCCCAAUACCUAGUGCCUUUUGUUUUUUUAUAAAAACCCAACUUAUACCUCCUUUGCCCAAAUUUCCCAUGCAAGAACCAUCGGUGUUCAACUUGUGCAAUCCCCUUAAAGGGGAUCCCAUUUAAAAGUUAUGGUAAAUAUGGUGUUAGAGGGUGGUUGAUGGUUACUCAUAUGAAUAUACAUUCAAUAGCUUCUAAGUAGUUUCUAUAUGUAGUUUUGAUAAUGAAUAGCUAAAUAACUACGAGGGACCAGGUCCUUAGAUGUGCAAGGUACAGUACAACUGGAAUGCAUCUUUUACACAAUUUUGUCAUCUUGUGUAACAAACUUGCAGGUGUUAUUUGGUGCUAUUUUGUAUCAACUUAGACAACUGGUCCAAUGAUAUUCCAUCCCCAAUCAUUGCCCAACUAUAAAAGGAAAAAGAUGCCUCUUCAAUAAUUAGUUUUUGCAAAAAUUACAAAGAAUAAUGAGAGGCAACAAAACCCCAUUUCAAUGCUGCUCAAGUUCUUAGCUUUAUGUGUGCUUAAAUUGAAAUAGUUAUUGAGUGAGUAAUGAUUUGUAUUCGAACUACUCAUUUUAUAGUAGUUUUUUUUACUUUUGAGAGAGUUGCUUAGUUACCUAAACUUGUAGCUGGUUAGAGUUAACCAGUUUUGAAGAGAAACUUGGCAGAGGUCUCAAAGUGUGCUUGUAAUAGAGGUAUUGAAAGUAGGAGGAACCUAGAGUUAGGUUCACAGUCAAGUCUGUAAUCUAGAGAUUGGUUACAGUGGACUAUUUUAGUGCUUGUGAGGGCAAGUCAUGAUUUUUCCCAUGUUGAGUUCCCGUGUAAAAAUCAUGUGUUGUUCUUUCCUGCGUUGCCUUUAUUUUUCCAACACCUUGUAAUUUCUUUACUUUUAUAAUAUUUGAAAAUGACUCUGAGGGACCUGGUCCCUCACUUAUGGUGCAGCCCCUAAGGGUUUCAUCAAUUGAUAUCAGAGCAGGUUUACUCUAAAAGGUUUACACCAAGAGUGUUCUGAUUAUAAUAGCCGUUUUAACUGAACUAGGGGUGGAAAGAAAAGAUGCAAUAAAAGAGAAAUUCCUAACCAUGACAUCUCUAUAAACUGAUCAAGGUGAGGAAGACCUGAUGUUGCACCUUUUGGCAACAAAAAUUGUUAAAGCUACAGGAAGGGAUGGUCAGUGAUAAGAUUGAAGGUUAUCACAAAAAUGGUGUUGAAUCAUUCAUGAGAACUGCUCAUUAUGUUGGAAGCAAAGAGUAUAAACUCAUGAGUAUUCACUAUAGAGGAGAUAGACUUCUGGAAAAAGGAUUGCAGUCAGGAAUAGCUCAGUAACUGAAAGGAUUCAAAGGUCAAUGAUGAAAGGUCUGACUGUGUUUUCUCUCUCAAUGACACUUCAGGUGAAAGUGUCUUACUGUGAAAAGUUGUGUCUUACUGUGAAAAGUUGAUCUCAAGGACCUAGUCCUUGACAUAUGAGAAACUUGUGAUCAAAAGAAAGCCCUAAAAUGACCUCCAGAUUUGAUAACUAAAAAUACUAUGGAGAAUAAACUGUAAAAGAAAUUCUAUGAGUUGAUGAAAGAAGUGCAUGUAGUUCCAGAUAAGUCAGAAAAAUUAUUGAUCCUAGGUAAUACUAAAAGAGAUGAGAAAGAGGAUGAAAGAUGCAGAUAAGUCUUGAUUCUCAGGGACCUAGUCCCUAGGAAAUUCAUCUCAGAAGAAGCUUCAUUAGAAUAAACAACAUUUGAAUCAGUGUCUCCUCAAAACUUGGCUAUGAUCAAGAGAUAGGUAUCCAUUGUAAUGUAUGUGCAUGAUUACUCUAAAUUAGCUUCAUACCACUACAGUUAUACAACCAUAGGGACAAUGUAGAAGGAGAACAACCGAAGCUGCAAAAAUACAGAAUUCAUUCAAACUGAGAGGGGCCUGGUCCUAUCUUUCAAGUUAGUACAUAUAAGAUGCCUAAGUAAUCACAAAAUGUUGUCUGAAAAAUCCAUAUAUCAUUUUUUUCUCUAAACUAUCAAAUCCCUUGUAAAAUAAAGAGUCGUACUUAUUAGUUUCAGACAUGCCAAUUCAAAAAAAAACUAUCUUUAAUGACAUCGAUUAUUUUUAAACGUACUAAAUCAGACCUUCUCAUCAAUUGUACCUUAAUUAGUCCUAUUCAUUUUCUUAAAUCAAAAAAUAUUCCUAAUCUAAACUAUAUUAUCACUCUUUCUCAAAUCAAAUGGAUAAUGUUAUUACUUCCCCAUACUCUGCAAAAAUUCCAAAACCUACAGUUGAGUUAAAUUCACUAAGACAUCCUUAACCAUUGAAGUUAAUGCUCAGUGAAUCGUAAUAGAAUUCUCAAACCAAAGGUCUAGGACAUCAAUAGAACAAGAAAUUUUUUCACCAAAAAAAUCACAAUUUCCUAUGUCAUCUGAAAAGCUGAAUUUUCUGAAACACAACAAACACCAAAUUCUCGUACACACUCAGACUCAAAAAAUAUUUUUGAUCAGUUAUUUGACAAAGAAAUUACAGUCAAAAGAGUUGAUCUUUCAUCUAGUGAGAACUGAGUAACUGAGAACCUACUACUGUUUGCUUAUGACAACAUAAAAAACUCAGUUAAUGGAGUAGAACAGGAAGCUUGUGAUAUUAAUUAAGUAAGUGGGAGAAAAGAUAGGUUGUUACCUCCAAAUAAGGAGAAUGAAAGGAUUGAGGACAAAGUAUCGCUGAGAUGGUCUAUGAAGAAACUCAAGAGAAAUAGAAAAAGAAAAAAUAAAAACAAUGAAGGUGAGGAGAUUGAUAAAGGAGAGAAAUUAAAUCUAGGGGGUAUUGCUGCCUUCAAAAAGGAAUAAAGAAUGAUAUUACAAUUGAGAGGGCCAGGUCCUUCAUAUCAAAGUCCGAUAGCUCCACUAGAAUGAGGAAGAAACUUAUAGCUAUCAAGAAAAGGGAGGCUUUGAGAGACCAGGUCCUAUGAAAAGAAUAAUUGAUAAUAAAGGGGAAACAAGUAGUGAGCCCAAAAGAAAGAAAAGAUAUGAAGAAAAGAAUGACAUUUCCAGAGAAGGAAGAAUUGGGAACCUAAGAACACAAAAGGUUCCGUCAAAAAGAAUGUUUGAUCCAAAAAUUUAUGAGAAACCCAAAAUGACUAAAUUGGUUGAAUAUGAUAAGAAUAAAGGUUGGUUACACUUUUUUGAAGAAUCAAACCCUAUGUUUUUUAUGAAUGAGAUCAAAGAAUUUUAUUAUACCAUGGAAUUCUUAGAAAAUAAGCUAAGUGUAUCUACACAAGUACAAGGAAAGUCUAUCAAUUUGGAUAAGGAAGUACUAGAGCAGUUUUGAGAAAGAAAUUCCUGCAAUAUGAGUUUCAGCUUGUAUUUGAAUUUAUCAGCAAAGUCCUAUUAUCGAGAUCAAGAAAAAUUACAAUUGCAUCUGGUUCUGAUCUAUUCUUGAUAGAAUGCCUAAACAGUUUUAAAUUUAUCGGUCUGCCUGCUCUUAUGAUUAACCACAUGAAAAAAGUAAUUCUUGAUAAAAAUAGAAGACAUGAAAUGACCUAUGGGUACUUUCUAAAGAAGUUCUUCAAAGAUUUUAAUGUGAGUGCAACUAAAGGAACACCUGGAAUAGGCAAACAAAUUAUCGGCUAACAACUCUUGUAGAGAAUGAAUAUAUUGAAAACAAAGCUGGUUCUAUGUCUUAAAUACCAAAAAUGUUAGCUAUUCAAGAAAGGUUGGGAAAGGAAAUAAAGAAGUUAAGAAUUAUGUUGAGCAGCUAAACUAAGAGGGACCAGGUUCCUAGAUGUGCAAGGUACAGUACAGUCGAUUUGCGCCCUCUGCACAGUUUUGUCAUCUUAUGUAACAAACUUCUAAGUACUAUUUUGAACCGACUUGGAUAUCUGGUCCAAUGAUAUUCCAUCCAUAAUCAUCACCCAGCUAUAAAAGAAAAGAGAUGUCUCUUCAACAAUUGGUUUUUACAAAAAUUACAAAGAAUGAAGAGAGGCAACAAAACCCCAUUUCAAUACUGCUCAAGUCCUUAGCUUAAUGUAUGCUUAAAUUCAAAUAGUUCUUGAGUGAAUAAUGAUUUGAAAUUGAACUACUCAUCUUAUAAGAGUAGUGCUUUCUUUUGGGAGAGUUGCUUAGGUAGAGUUACCUGAGCUUGUAGCUGGUUAGAGUUAACUAGUUUUGAAGAGAAACAUGGCAGAAGUUUUAAGGUGUACUUGCAAUAGAGGUAUUGCAAGUAGGAGGAACCUAGAGUUAGGUUCACAGUCAAGUCUGUAAUCUAGAGGUUAGUUAUAGUGGACUAUUUUGUUCUUGUGAGGGCAAGCCAUGAUUUUUCCCAUGUUGGGUUCCCACGUAAAAAUGAUGUGUUGUUCUUUCCUGCAUUGCCUUUAUUUUUCCAGCACCUCGCAAUUGCUUUACGUUUCUAAUAUUUGAAAAUAACUCUGAGGGACCUGGUCCCUCACUUAUGGUGCAACCCCUAAGGGUUUCAUUAGUAGUCUUAUGCAAAGUUAGGUUUAUCAAACUUGUUAUUGAAGGUAUUAUUAUUCUUAUUCUUCCAGAUGAUCCAAAGAUAAAAAAUCAGCAGAGUUCCCUAAUGAAUCAAGUGAUCAAAAGGUGCAUCAUGCAUUGUAUUCAAAGUAUUUGUCCACUUGGAGAGGUGGAGACUUGAUAAAAAGAGGUACACAUUGGUGUUUUUACUGUUCAGGGUAUUCUAGAAGUCCUGAGUUAAAGAACAUUCAAAGAAAAUAUGAGAGAUGUCCUCCUUUGGAUGGUUACAUUUUGCCUCUUCUGUGGAUAGUGAGGUUUUUGAAAGACUGUUAUGGUAGAGUAACUAGAUUAAAAAUUUAUUUUGGAAGGGGUAUGGAGCUUCCAGAUCCAAAGAAAGGUUUUUUUGGUUAUUCCCAAUAGUUAAUCACCUAUUGGUAUCAAUGAACUGAGGAGCAAUACUACUGCUGAAAAGACCAUCGCCAUUUAAUUUCUAGAUGGGGGUAUAUUUAGAGCCUGUAAGGCUGGGAAAGAAAGAGAAUUGAAUGGAUUGGGUAAUGUUUUAAGGUAUAAUAACUAUCAAAAUCCCAUACCCCAUUGGACCAAACAUGAAAAGGGUGUGUUUUCUCUUUAUGUUAAAAGAGAGCCGCCUAAAUGAAUUCCCUAAGGGGCUUAUGGUUAGGCAACCACCUUUUAGUUUAGAAGUUGAAUCUAUUACCAUUAUGUACCACCCACUGAGAGGCUUCCUUCCAAAUGUUUCAUCCCUUGUAGCUAUCUUUCCAAGUUCUAGAAGAGUUAAACUUACACUGCAUGUUGUUUCUACUAUGUUUUGCUUUAAAAACCAUGGCCCAAAGCAUAUGAGGAUUGUUUUGAAACCUCCACGCUGGACUACAUAGCAUGGUGUCAUUCUUAACGGAAGAUUUUUUAUUCCCAGACCCCAAUCCUUCUUUCUAAGAGUCAGGGUAUGUCAACCCACCAUGUGUAUUUUAUUUUUAUCUUUAGAGGAGCCCCAGAUAAAAUUCGUACAUGUUUUGUGAAUGAGACUAUGAAUUUUGCUAGAAAGAGGGAAGAAAUGCAUGACAUAAUUAGGGAUGAUACUCAAAGAAGAUUUAGCUAGAGUAGUUCUACUAGCUAUAUUUAAAAACUUAACUUUCCAUCCAGGCAACUUAGUAUGGAAAUGCUUAAUUAGGAAUUGAAAAUCUUUGUUUGUAGGGGCAUAUUGAAAAAUAGGGAAAUCCAAGUUCUUCCCAAAGGAGUCCUUAGACUGAAUAUUGGGGUGGGUGGAAUAAGUUAUCCAUCUUCAUUACUGCAAUUUGGGAGAAGAUAACCUUAAACUUAACAUUGUUGAUUUUUGUCAAGAGUGGUGGUUAAAACUAGUCAUGAUGGUGCUGCAAUUUUUACUGUUAACUCUAGCAAAGAGGGUCAAAUCAUCAGCAAAAAAGAGCUGAGAUAUUUUUGGACCUCCAAGGCUGAUAAAGAUAGAGGUCUAAUUUAUAGUGUCCAUCUUGUGCUCUGUUCUCCUAGAGAGAAGCUUCAUAUAAAGAAUGAAAAUAUUAGGCAAAAUAGGAUCUCCUUGCCUAAUUCCUCUAGUAAGUUUGAAGAAAUUAGUUUUGCUACCAUUGAUAAGGACAAAGAUUGAGGAAGUGGAAAUGCGGGACUUUAUGAGACUUAUAAGUCCUGAAGAAAAGUCAAAGAUGUGCAAGGCUUGUUUUAUAAAAGAUCACUUAAUUCUGUCAAAGGCCUUUUCUAGAUCAAUUUUGAGAAUCAUGUUGGCCUUUUCCCCUCCCAAUUCUUGGAUAAUAAGAGCAUUAUCUGAGGUUCUUUUAUUAAAUAGAAAACUUGAUUGGCUCUGUCCAAUAAUGUCAUCUAGAAGAGGUUCAAUUUAAUUAGCUAUGAUCUUGUAUUGGGUGUUUCAAAGGUCAAUAGGUAUGAAGUUUCCAAGGUUGGUAGCAUUAAAGCACUUGAGGAUGAGGAAAAGAUAUGUGGAGUUUACCUUUUCUUCUCUGCCCUUGUUUUUUAAGGUAUCACUGAAGAACUUGGUCACUAUAUGACCCAUAAUGCUCCAAUAUUUCUUUUAUAAUAAGGGAUGGAUACCAUCAGGCCUUGGUGCCCUAGUAGGUUUGAAAGAGAAAAUAGUUCUUUUUAAUUCCUCCAUAAAAGGGAUGACAUCUAAGUGAGAGUGAUCCCUGGAGUUGAUGAAGCCAUGAGUUAAAGGUCUGGUCUGGUACCCAAGGGGGUAAGAUAUAUGAUCAGAGGAAAAAAAGGUGUAGAAAGUUAGGAUUUGAUCAUGAAUAUCAUUUUGAGAGUAUACCUAGUUACCAUGGUCAUCUCUCAGAGAGUUAAUUAUAUUCCUUCUUCUCCUACUUAAGGUAGAGCUGUGGAAGAACUUAGUGUUAGAGUCUUCUUUUAUGAUCCAAGUUAUUCUGGAUUUAAGUCUCAAUAACUCAGCUUCCUAUUUAAGGAUAUCAAUAAAUUCUUGAGUGAGGGUCUUUUCAAGGUCUUGAAGAAAGGAACUAUAGGGAAAACUAUUGGCCUUUUGAAUCCUAAAUUCCUAACAUAUGUUUUUCCUAUUAAAGAUAUUGCAAAAAGAUUCCCUGUUACAUUUUCUAAUUGUACUUCAAAGUGGGAGAUGGCAUUAGUGAGGUGGGAAGUAUUCUCAAAAAAACCUUUGACCAUGUUAGUGAAGGUAGGCUGAGAGCACCACAUGAAAUCUCUCCUAAAAGGUUUAUUAGAUAUUUAUAUAUCCUUAGUGAGAGUGACCAGGAGAGGAAAAUUAUUAGAGUAGGUCCUAGGUAGAUGAGAGAUGGAGGCUCCAGAAAAGAUAUUAAUCAAGGAAUUAGUAGCAAAGCAUUUAUUAAGCCUCUCAAGGAUUAAGUCAUUCCUAUUUUUAUAUCUCUUAUUGAUCCAAGUGUACUUACUACACUUAAACCCUAGGUCAUUAAGAUACAAGAGGCUUUAUUAUUAUUGCUAUUACAACCAAAAUUUUCAUUUGCCUUAAGAUUUUUAUUGAAAUCCUCUCCUAUAAAACAACUAUUAUGAUCAAUAUUUCUAAUGUGGUUAAAGAAGUUAGUCAUGUAAUUCCACAAUAAUUUUCUUUCCUCAAAACUAAACUAGCAUAAAUAGAGCUAACAGACCAAGAAAAGCGAGAAUAUUUAACCUACAUAGAGACAUGGAUGUACUGAGGCAUGAUGGAGAUAUCAUUAAUGUUUAGCUCUUUAUUUUUCCAUAUAAUAACCAUACCUCUGGAAGUACCAAUAUCAGGGUAUUUGCAGAUGGUUGUUGAAACCAAGGUCAUCAGUAAGACAUGUGUGAUCACUCAUUCUAGUUUCUAAAAGAGCAAGAAGACUAUGUUUAUGGAGGUUAAUAAUGGAGAUGUAGUGGUUCUUAAGAUCAGCAUUAUUUUCUCCUCUAGCAUUUCAUACGAUGGAGUUCAUCAUCAUUUGAUAUGCUAGUUUAGGAGACUUAUUCCAUGUCUCUUUGCCCUUGUUCAUAAGGGAUGGGAUCUCUAGACCUUCUGCUUUCUUUCUUUUCUUAGAUAGAGGUAUCAUAAAAGAGAUUAAUAGAUUCUUAUUCAUGGGGUUUGACAUUAUGAUUUCCAGUGCGAACCUGGUAAAGGUUUUGAUGAAGUAAAAUAAUUAUCAUUUUGCUUACUAGCUCCUUGAAUUUUAGAGUUAUUGGUCUUCCUAGAGUGAUCACUUUUGUUCUGGGUAUUUUGAGAGAUGCAAAAAUUCCCUCCAUUUCUAUGUUGUUCUAUCUUAAUACCAUUAUUGUCUUGGCUCUUUUUUCCAUCUCCAAAGAAAUAUGGUUGGUCUCUGAUACUUCUAUUGUUGGGAGCGGGAGGAGUGCCUCAUAACUUUUUACAAAAAAUGCGCUCAUUUCUAGCAAUUCUUGGUUCCUUGCUGAGAAAAAGCAAAGGCUUUGAGUUGUAAGGUUUUGAAACACCCUAGGUUUUAGCCCUUAGGAAUUUCCUAAGUUUUAAACUUACUGUCCUAGUAACGACUCACCGUAUGAGUCAUAUGGUGUGGGUACGAGUUAAGUGACCCCACUCAUAAGGUGUCUAGUGAAGGGUAGUUGGGUUUCUGUUGUGGUUACGAUUUGGUGAUACGAGUCGUUAGUAAUGCUGACAGUUUGUUUGAUUGGUCCCUUAAUCAAAUUAGUAACUUAAUGACUUGACUUGGCUCUGAGUAUAAGUGUCUCACUAAGAUCCAUGAGGAUAGGGUACGAGUGGUAUAAUAAAACUGUAUAUUGUCCAAUGUCUAGACCUUGAUGUUCUAUUUAGGGUUCAACUAGAUAGUAUUGGCAGUAUGGUAUGGUUAUGGGUUGGGGCAAAGGAACUGUAUAUUGGACAAAAUAUAGUGUCUAACUUUCUGACCUAGUAAUGACUUGAGGGUACCAAUCAUAUGAUAUGAUGAUGAGUUGAAGGGUCAACUCGUACCCACCAGCGAGUUUUCUCAUGAGAGGGCUAAGACUCAAUAAUUUAGCAAAGUGUUGAAAACUUAAUCUUAUUUUUGUCCUCUAAACUUUGAUGAAUUAUAAUUCGACCUUCUCGGCCUUAAAAUGCCGAUCUCUAAGCUGAUUCAUGAUCGGGGUAGUUUUGUGAAAAUUUUGACUUUUAAAGAGUCGCCACAUAAUUUUGAAAAGGAAUUAAGAAACCUUUAUAAGAUACUUUAAACAAUCAAAAACAAAAUAAUCGCGUAAAUUUAAAGAUUAUGAGUAAGCGAUUCCUAUUAAUAUUUUAGGAAGGUGUUAGGCACCAAAAAUGUCCGCUAACUUUCGGUUAUCUGAACUGUUUGAAAACGUAUUUUGAUUAACUUCAAAAAAAAAAAGAUUGAUUUGUGAAAAAGUGAUCGAUUUUUAGCAAAUACUUAUGUAAAAUGAAUUUAGGCGACUUAGAAAGGAAUUUUAACUAAGUCUAAACAAAACUAACAAGCAAAUAAACACAUAAAAGAGAAAGGGAGGAGAAUGUAAAAGAUUUAGGCUAUUGGGCCCAAAUCAACGAAACCUGUCCUAAUCUAGAUAUUGGGCCCUUGGCCCAUAACCUAUCCUAGUCUAAUUUUUGAACCUUUGGCUUGAGUUUCACUUUACCUGUAUUAAAUACAACUUUGACUUCGAGGUCCAAAUAAAUAAAUAAAUAAAUAAAUAAAUAAAUAAAGACAACAAUAAGUAAAUAAAUAAAAUAACAAAUGAAACUUUUGAGUCUCUGAGCUACUUUGCCAAAGGGUUCCAACCCAUUUUCGUUUUCUUCUAUCUUCUUGUAUCCAUGUGCUACGCAAUUGACUCGAAAUUAAUUUGACAGAAAUGGUGGGCCCCAAUGGCCCAUGAUGAAAUGUGAAGAGAGAUCAAAUCCAUUUUUUUGGACUCGAGGCAAGUGGUACAUGUAAAUAAGGGUAAGGACUAGAACCUGAUAAAAGAGAACCUGAUGCUACUAAUGUUGAAGGAAAUAGAAAAUAAUCUAAAAUGCUCCACAAAACAAGACAUCUCAAAGAAAACACAAGAAAUAAAUUCUUUUAUCUUACCCUUUUGAAAAGUUAAAAUUGAACUUCUUUUAGAGAGAAACUUGACUUCACAUAAAAGUAUAUUUAGGAGUAAACUUAUCACGAUCUUCAAUCACAAAUAAGUUAAUUCUAUGAUAGGAAUAGGCAUGUUUAAAUAAAUCAAACCAACCUAAUCGAAACACAACAAUUCACACAAGAAACAUAGUCUAUUCUGCUAUGCACAAAAUAGAUGAGGCAGUCAAAACUACUCCUUACAAACUGCAACACAUAGGAUCCUACGUGUAGAAUAGGUGCAGCGAGGAAAAGAGAGCAGACCGAAACCCGUAAAUCAUCAUUUAGCAAAGAGUAAAUCAAUCAAAAUUCUACACUAUCCUAAACGAGAUCAUUAAGAGAAUGCAAUGGCAGACUUAAUCCAACACAGCUCAAUCGUUUCCCAUUAUCAGGUCCAUUACUUUGGAACACGGCCACCAAGAACAACUUAAGACAGCCGAAACAUAAACAUAAAUUCACAUAUUUUCAUAUAUAAAAACACUCAUACAGAAAAGGUUUGUGGAUUUAGAGAGAAAAGAAAGCAUUGACAUGUCGAAGGACGAAUAAAGUCGUCUACAAUGAAAACCAUUCCACAAAGCCUCAACCUUUGGAAAAAGGAAAUUGUUGUUUUGCAUCUAUACUCUAAAUAAAAAACAGAAUUAGAAUCGAACAGCUCCUUAAAACAGUCUCAGACAAACAGCGAUUGACGCAUUCAAAUAUGAAUUAUAACUAUCAAGCGACUAACGAAAUAGUCGAAACUAUGGCAAGUUUCGUGACACGCAAGUCCUAUGGCUUAUAAGCCUUCCUACAGUGGACAAACCCAGCACUAACAGUAUUGGAAAAUGUUUCAUGACUACAGCAGUGUGAGAUGAAGCAGAAUACAAUUGAAAUUUAAAUAGAAAUGGAAUGUUGCCUGUUCAAGAGCAGCAAAAUGGGGCAGCGAGUUAAUCAUCGGGAUAUUGAUCACCACCGAAGCUUCGUCGCUACUUCGAUGAUCCCGACAAACUCAACAAUAUCUAAAAUUUCACUAAAAUAGAGAAAUUUGUUCACUGAUUUUUGAUAAAUAAUUUUUUCUCUCCCUUUUCACCCUUUCGGACCUAGCUUUCUUCACUCCUCUUUAUCAGACCCAAAAUUUUUUAACCCAAAUUUUUCUUUUUCUUCCCCCCCUUUUUAACUCAAUCAAGAUCUGCUAAUAUAGAAGCAAGCUCGGGUUUCUCUUUCGUGACUUGAAUGAUGUGGGAAAAUUGAAGUUCGGGCUAAUUUAGGGAUUCCCCAUCGAGAUAUUUUCAAAAUUCAAACUGAAAAAUCCCCCUACAGCUUGGGUUUUCCUCUCCAAAUUGUACCGAUUCUUUUGGAUUUGUUAAGAGAAAUUGAGAAUAGGUGGACCAAGACCAUUUGGGCAAACUGAAUUCUCCUCUAAAUCAAUGAAAACCAUCCAAAUAUAUACAAAAUCUUACAAAUCAAUCCAAAAAUCAAGGCAUUUAAAUGUUGGGGAGACAACUCACCUAUUUCUAGAAGCUUCCUAAGCUUUUCUCGUACAGGUUCACGUGGGAUGCGCGUGAUGCAUGUGAGCAUCGGAUUGAGGUCAGGUUGAAGCUGGUCGGCUUGGAGAUGGUGAUUUUGGGUUACAUCUUUGAUGAUAUCAAUUGAGCGCUAGGUUGAUUUUGGGGAAACUGGGUUCGGUUGUUCGCAAUUUGGAAACCAGAAGCGUGUUUUUUUAUUUUUACCGAUCGAUGUUGUAGGCUGUUAUGUUGUUGUUGGUUAAAGAAGAAAUAGGAAUCUGGGUCGGGUCGGAAGGUUGUUAGGUUUGGGCAUGUUAGAGUGGGUCAUUGGUGAAAGGAAUAGAUUGGUGUGGCUGGUUAUUAUGUGUAAGGGAAAAUGGGCUAGUAAAAUUGUUAUUAUUUUUGGGAUGAUUUGGUUAUUUUAAUAUAUAUGGCUAAUUUAAUUCUAGCCAAAUUGAAUAUCAAUUGAUCAA